GCGCGAAAACUUUACAAUGCCGGCAACGGCGAUAAGGGGACCUCGAGUGCCAGGUUACAAAUCUGGCUGUCGUGAUGCCUAAAAAGCAUUGCAUAGCAAGGGCCGGGCAAGACCGGUGC
rnacentral:rRNA from 3 species